CCUUCCAUCGACAAUCAUUUUGUCUCCCACUAUGGAACCAGUUGGUUCCAACUUAACCGAAGCAGAAUUGGAUGUCAACUAAUUACCAACAUGCCAUAAAAUUUUCCAAGUUUUCCAAUAGAGUUCACCAACUUACUAUUUUAUUCAAUUAUCUCCUAACAUUUCCUAGAGUUUGGGACUUAAACGAAAACCGGGUGUGACAACUCCCCUACCCUUAAAGAAAAUUUUGUCUUCAGAAUUUCCUCUCGUGACUAAUCCUAUAAGUGGACUCUGGGUAAUUACUCUUUCUUUUGAUGUCUCCGUUCUUAACUUAGAGGAAGAUACUACUACUUUUCCCUAAUGCUUUAACGUUGAUCACUUAUAUAUAGAUUCACCCUAAACCCAUCCCACUUGACUGGCGGACCCUUCUAUACUCUAUAUGUAGCAGAUAAUUGCAUAAAGAUAACCUUACUAUUAUCCUAGCAGAGUCUCUGGCUUACACCUUGUGCUAGAUCGUUGCCCAAUAUAAUGCUACUUGGCGGAUUCUUAUUGUCGAAUACAGAUUGGCAGGUACUCACUAGACAUCUGGCUUUGGUGAAUACCCCCACUUCUGCAUACCAAGGGGUUAAUUAAAAACCCUUCCCACAAUGGACAGGUGUUAGUUGUGGGUUUGAUGACUCAAAUAGUCUGUUUCAGAUUUGAACUCAAGCAUCUCUUAGACUUUUGGCUAUUUAAAUCGAGGCGCAGAGAAAUGAAACUCUUUCAUCUAAAAUCAUCUCCCCAAAUUUCUUGCUGAUUAAGUUUCAUUUUGAAUCCUUAAAUUUCCUUUUUUACCUUUUUCAAUUUCGUUGCCUAAGCUUUGUUUCCAUUCCUUUCUCAGAUAACUUCUCAAUUUUUCCUUUCCAAGUAAUCUUUUGAUCUUCUCUCUUUCUUUCAUCUCACCAUAAUGGUUAGAAUUAAAAAUAGUAACUAUGAGGAUAGAAGUAAUCGUAAUAGUCACAAUCAAAAGGAUCAUGAAGGUGGUGCUAUAGAGGUGACAAGGCUAGGCCUAGUAACCGCGAAGUAAGUGCCCCAGUGGAGACCCCCUUUUCAAGUGUCCAACAGCUUGGAAGAAGAUGGUCAAACAUUUGGGUCUUAGGGGAAUACAAGUGUCCAACUUUGCUUAUGAAUUUAGCAUCGUCCACGGUGAAUGCUGACUAAGUGAAACUUUCGAAUGAAUCAUCCUUCCCCUUUACCCGUUCGAGGCUGGGUUUCACCUCUCAUUACAUAAUUUUUUCCGUACAGUACUAAAUAAAUAUGGAAUUGUGGAGGGACAACUCGUCGGUUUAUCUUGGUGGACUAUGGUUUCAUACUUUAUCAACUGUAGCCUUAGGAACAAGCCACCUAGUCUAGGCAUGUUCCCAUGAAUCUACCAAUUGAAAGUUACCACUCGAGGUGCCACUGCUGGGAUGGCACACUUUAACACUCGCAAGGACACGACCCAAUUGUUAAAAACUAGGCUUUAAACUUCCACCUUAAUUAGAAAAAGUUCAUCCGAUAAGACAAUCCGCUGAAAAGACGUGGCCCUACAAUGCCACUAAUGACCUGGCCGCCAUAUUAGUAGGGAGGAAAGAUAAAGCCCCACACCUCUUCUACAUUGUGUGCAAGCUACACGUAGGACGCUGGUCUACACUGCCAGUAGUUGUCAUAGGUGAGUCUUCUAGUGGUUGUUUAUUUUUACGUAUGGUUUACACAAUAUUUCUACUAUAGGUUCUGUUUAAUCUUCCACUCCAACCCAAUCCUCUUAGCUAAGAAGUAUGAACAUGGAGGAUUUAAUAGAGAGGGCACAAGAGGUUGUUUCUGUGAUGGAUACUAGAGCACAGACAGGCAGUAAUAACCGUAAGAGGUUGAGAGUUGAAGGUAGCUCACAGAUUACAGGGGAAAGUAGUGGUAGUAGGUUGCUCCUCCAUAGAUGUGGCAAGAAACCAGCCAAUCCUAAAAGGGAAAUCACUCAGCCAUUCCUACCUUCUCAUCUCAAGAUUAGUCAGAGUCCGCCACUCCAGUGGACUUAACUCCCUUUGCCCAAUGUCUGCUUGAAGAGCCCACUCCCAGCAUUACCCAUUUUGUUCUGUUGUCCACCCCUACUGGCUCAAUGGCAAUUCUCUUUUCUUCUAGAGGAGCAUCAAGUUUGUUCCCAUAGAGAGACAUCUUUAACUCUAGUCAGUCUCCUUUUUAUCCACUUGAGGUCAGCCAACGAUGGUAGAUGAUUCUGCCUCAAGAGCUGAAGGAUUGCACCUUCCCUUCUUAUUUUGGAGCCCGCCAACCAACUUUACCAAAAUUGGUGGAUACCUACCAAAUUAUGGUGAAAGAAUGCAAACUCUUGGCUGGGCCCUUCGCCGGCACUAUAGUGGAAGUGAAACUAGAUGGUCUGAACUAUAAAAGACCUUGGCUUCCAAAAUUCAAGAGCUAGCCCAGCUAUGCCAAACCUAUGAUACCACAGCCUACCAGAACAAUGAGCUUGUCGAAUUAGUACUGUUACAUCCCAGAUUUUUAUUAAUAUGUACGCAAGAUUGAAAACAAGGGAAUGUGUAGUCUAGUGGUUUAAAGACUUCUUAGCUAAACUAGAGGUCCAAGGUUUAAGUCCUAAUGUUCACACUCUCCUAAUUAUUUUUUUACAAUUUUCCCAUGUGCACUAAUGCUUGCCGCAACUCCCUUUUUUGCCUCAUAUAAGUUGACUCCUUUCCUCUAUUAAGAGUCAAACUUACCCUAAGUUAGGGGUACAUGAUCCCCUUUUCACUCCAUGUCUCCUUCCCUUACCAAAACCUCUCAUCUUGCCUAUUUGAUGUGAUUCAUUGAACCUGGUCACAGUUGACCAAGCUUUACACACCCAUUGUUGUCCCUACCUCUCUCAUUUCUCCUAUAUUCUCAUUUUUUUUCAUUUUCUUUCAUCUCCAUUUUCUCUCCAUUUGAUAAACCACCACCUUCAACCACCACCUGAACUUCCUCCAUCAUGGGCUAUAGUUUCACCACCUCGACACCACCUCCUAAUAUUCUCUUCUCCUCCUCAUUUCUUACGAUCACUGCCCCUCACCACCACCAUCGCCAUUGUGAACCGAUGUGAACCACCGCGAGAAACCCUUCCUCCUCUGCUCAUUUUCUUUUCUCUUUUCUCUUAACUUUGUGAUCGAACCCUCUUCCCCUUUUUUAUAUAUUUUUCUCACCUCAUUGAGACCACUGCUAAACCAUCGCCAGACCGUCGCCAUUGUCGUUUUCUGUCGGGAUUUAAUUUUUCUUUCUUUCUUUCCCUUUCGAUCUCUCCCAUCUUCUCUAAGGAUUUAAUUAUCCUAUUUUAAUUAUUUUGGGUUCAAAACUUUUUAAUCAUAUAUUUUUGUAAAUCAUUAAACCUUUUCACUCUUUCGUUAAGUCUAAUCAUCGAUCUCGUUGUAUUGUUGAGGAGUGUAAGUGUUUGAGGGGUCUUAGGAACAUUCCUUUCUCUCUAUUAUUUUUCUUCAUAGCCAAAUGGUGUUAAGACACAUUCAUUUUUCAUGUAUUAACACUUUGUUCAUAUAUUCUUUGAAGGACCAAACAAUGUAAAUCCAAGAAAUCCUUAACGAGUUAAUGAGUGCAUCAAAUCCAAGUGUUGAUUUAAGGCUAAGUAAUUGAUGAGAAUUAUUUCAAUGAUUAAACUUUAAGUAUUAAGACACAUUCGAUAGUUCUAAAACUAAAAUAUGUGUUUGAUGCGAUAGAUUCAUCUACCGGGUUUAGAUCCAAGUGAAACCUCUUCUAAUAGGAUUGUGGCAAUCGAAUUUACGAUUUAAGGUGUGAGAUCUAAAUAUUUGAUUUGAGUAUUAUUUUAUUAUUAAAUAAAAAACUAUUAAAUAAUUAUUUGAGAGUACACUAAGUACUCAAAGGGGAGUUGACAAACUUAUCAAAAGGGAAAUUCCAAGUAAGUGUUCCUAAAAUUAUUAGUUCAUGAAAUCUAUGAUUCAUGAUGUGUUGAUGUAUGUGAUGAUGACAUGUGUACAAAUCACAUAUUUAUGUUAUGUGAUACAUGACUUAAUUGAAAUGUGAUGAUUUAAAUAUGUGUUAUAUAUACAUAUGUGUGAAGAGAUCCAUGAUUUAAUAUGAAAAUAUAUUAAAGCAUGCUAAAGUGAAUAAUAAGUGAAUAAUAUGUGAUAUGUAAGCAUGUUUACAUGCAACUGUGUGAAAUUGAGAAAUAUGCAUUAAGUGAGACUAUAAGCAUGACUACAUGCUAAAAGUGAUUAAAUGUGUUAAAUUUGAAAAUAGCCAUAUCACAUGCAUAGGGUGGGUGUUGUGAAAGGUGGAAAUUAUGUGGCAGUUUAUCUGGGAUUAUGUGGUCAUUAUCGGCAAUUAUGUAGUGGCUUGUCUACAAAUUGUGUGUUAUUGGAUGAACGAGUUCUGGGGAACUCGAUAUUGGUGUGUAAUGGAGAUGGGUAGGAAAUUCUUCAAAAUGUACAUUGUUACAUAAGCAUGUCUCGAUAUUUAUGUAAAUGUGUAAUAUUGAUGAUAUGAUAUUUCUAUAAAAACUGUAUAUAUUUUGAUUUGGAUGUGUUUAUUCGAUAUGUUGAAAAGCAUGUUAUAUAAUAUAUAUACUUUAUGUUUUUGAUCUCACACUGAGCCUUUUAAAGCUCACCCAUAUUACUGUUGUGUCUUAGGUAAUCCUCGUAAUUAGGACACUGAUGCGGAUUCUCGGUGGUGCUCUCAAAAAUAAAUUUUUAAUAAAAUAUUGGACUUAAUACCUUUUUUAUGGAUUUAUAUGGACUUUGAUUUGGGUUUGUUUUUAUAACUUUUCGGACUUUAUUUUAAUUAUGGACUAUGGCAUGGAGAUUUCUUUUUUUACAAUUCAGAACUAUUGCAUGGAUUGUUUAUGUUGGAAUUACCGUUUCAAAUGAUCAUUAAACAAUUUUAAGAAAUAUUAUCCACUGCAAAUAUGUUUUCAAAACUAAGUUAUAAUACGAGUAUUUUUUUUAUAAAUAUGAUUAAAUAGUUUUAUUUGAAAAGAACAUAAUAUUUUCUCAAUGACAUGUUUUUGAGAACAAAUGGAUUUUCUUAUGAAAGGCAUUUUAGCCAUUCUUCAUGGUUCAUGUAAUCACUCAGGUUGGGUUGUAACGUCUAGGAACGGUUUGAGGGGUUACAAGUACUUUUUUUAUUUCUUGAUGUACUUACUAAGUUUUCAUCGGCUUAACGCAUUUAAUUUUAAUGUGUAGGUUGAAGAUAGAUUUGGAAAGCUCGAACUAAGGUCAUGGUCAGCUCAUCUUAUCACAUUACCAAGCUUGAAGAAGAAUAUGAUACUAGAUUUUGGUUUAGUUUGUCAUGUACAUAGGCUAUGUAAUAAGCCAAUUUAGCCCGGGCUCACCGAAAAAUAAUAAACCCAAAAUAAUAAAACAAAGUCCAAGUCCAGUCCAAAAUUAUAUCAUUUGGCCCAAUCGGAAUGGCCUAUUACUUGAAAAGGUUGAAGGUCAAUCCACAAGUUUGACACAUAUGGAAACAUAAUCUUCAAGGAUAUGCAAUCUUAGAUAUGAUAUGCAAUCUUAGAAGAUAUGAUUUUGUAAUCUUAGAGAUUUAAUUUGUAGAUAUCUUUUAAUCUUAGCCGUUGAUGUAAUUAAUCGGUACCGUUGGAUUUGGGGAGGCUCUACUAUAAAUAAAGGUCUCUCCCUUCAUUGCAAAAGACUUGACUUGGGAGUAAUAAUAAUUAUUAAGAGUAUUCACUC
rnacentral:lncRNA from 1 species